UUUCCAUGCGUCAGUGGGUCAAGUAAAAAUACAACAAAAAUAACCUUGGCCAAUUGUAUUUGAAAAGUAUAAAUGCAACCAAAUCCAUGGAGUAGCACAUCAUUUUAAGCAUGUGUCAUGGAGGCACCCUGAGGUUAGUUUAAGGGACAACAGGGUCCAUACCAACUUUUAUUAAACCGGUGAGAAACAGGGUUUUAGCACUCCAAAAGUGACUUAAAUACAGGUUCGGAUAUCAGUUGAGGAAAAUUAUUAAGGGGCAGCAACUAAUACAACAGGCGGUCCACAGGAUCCCGGCAAAGAACGUGAGACCCUUCCGAGAAACAUUGCAACGGCAGUCUUCUGAUAACGCUCCAGAACCUGCGUUCGAUGAGGAGAACGUUGCUCCCGAAUGAAUUCCGUCUCAGAAACAGAUAAGCGAGAGCUUCAAUGUCCAGACUGCGAAGUGUGCAAUUUCUGGAUCCUUAGAAUUUGUGCUGACUGCGAAAGACCACAGUGGGUAAAUAGGUGCCGCGUAAAACGGUGGUGUGACUAUUGUUUGCAGGAUUAUCAAGGGCUCUUACAGAGGCUGUCAGUGGAAACUGGAAUUGAGGGCGAUAGAACUCGCUCCUAUCAGGAAAAAUUAGAAAAAUGGCAUAGGUAUAUUUUUGAGCAAUCAAAUAUUGUCCUUUGGAAAGCCAUUGAAUGUGAUAAAUCUGUUCCAGUACCACAGACCUGGGAAGUAAACCCCGAUAAGUGGGAGGAAACAAAAAGGAGGUGUCGGAAAAAGAGAAACAGAAGGAAGACUAAGAGCCUGCAGGAAUGGGCCAAGAACUGACACUUUGGGGCUCCUUCCCUCCACAGGGGGAAUGGGAGAACAUCUCAAAUCGCGAAAAUUGCUCUAAUAUGAGUCCGGAGAUUCUUCCUGUUAACGGGACUGGAGUGGUCUAUUUU